rnacentral:rRNA from 1 species
CCUACGGGUGGCAGCAGUAGGGCAUUUUCGGCAAUGGGGGGAACCCUGACCGAGCAACGCCGCGUGAACGAAGAAGUUAUUCGUAAUGUAAAGUUCUUUUAACAGGGAAGAAAGAGAAAUUUGACGGUACCUGAAGAAUAUGCUCCGGCUAACUACGUGCCAGCAGCCGCGGUAAUACGUCGGGAGCGAGCGUUAUCGGGAAUUAUUGGGCGUAAAGGGUGCGUAGAUGGCAUAGUAAGUCUUUUGGAAAAAUGCUGGGCUCAACCCAGUAGGGCAAAUGAUACUGGAAAGCUAGAGUAUUACAGAGGCAAGUGGAACUAGAUGUGUAGCGGUGAAAUGCGUAAAGAU